rnacentral:rRNA from 1 species
UACGAAGGGGGCUAGCGUUGCUCGGAAUCACUGGGCGUAAAGCGCACGUAGGCGGAUUGCUAAGUCAGGGGUGAAAUCCUGGAGCUCAACUCCAGAACUGCCUUUGAUACUGGCGACCUUGAGUCCGGGGAGAGGUGAGUGGAACUGCGAGUGUAGAGGUGAAAUUCGUAGAUAUUCGCAAGAACACCAGUGGCGAAGGCGGCUCACUGGCCCGAUACUGACGCUGAGGCACGAAAGCGUGGGGAGCGAACAGG